GUCACCAUGCAUUAUUCUUUUUAUUUUUUCAAUUUAAUUGUAUUAUUAUUAUUUUGAAAAGCUGAAACAAAACAAAGUAAAAUCCAGAGCUUGCCGCCCCGCUGCAGACAACAAUAGGGAAGGGAACAGCGGAGGCUCCCAGAGAUGACAACUGUUAGGGACCUUCCUGGAAAAUGUCACUGGGACACAGCCAGGGGCUCCAGUCCCCCUCCUCCUCUUAUUGGCACCUUACAGGUCUGACAGUUUGCUGAGAGAAUGGUGGAUUAUUUAGAAGCUGAUCGGGCUUGGUUUGAUGAGAAGCCUUUAUCGGGUGUUAGUUCCACUCUUGGUUCCUGUGAGGAAGAAGGAAGAAAAUUCCAUCUGCUGCCUCCUCCAGGAGGAGAGGAGGAGGCUCAGGAGAGACAUAAGGACUUUCUUCUCUUUGUUCCUGAAGCAAAGUGGAUCCCACUUACCUUUCACCUAACCAAGGGAGAAUGGUGGGAAUUAUCCCAAGGCACCAUCUCUAAGAAGAGUAUGGCCUCCAUCUCUGGACCAGCUUUGGGGAGACGACUUUCAUGUUCUCCUGAUGUUCAAGAAACUCAGUUAUUUUUCUGCUCUGAUGCAGGCAAUUUGCCUAGCACAUGCAGGUGAAGGUCGAUGCUUGUAGGGUGAGGAGGAUCCAUGGCUGCCUACUCCACCAUCCCGCCAUGUUGCUAAAGCUUUACAUCCUGUCAACACCCUCGAGUCCUAUGGCCAUGGCUUGCUUUCAGGAGCUAUGUGGUAUUCUUGGAGGAUGACACUAUCUUCCAAGUGGUCAGUCAUGUCAAGAGGAAGUGCUGAAUCUCUCCUUUCCCACCCACGGCUGGCAGAGACGAAUUGAAGUGGACCGUGAGCGCAAGCUUCAUACUUUCUACGAGGAGUUCACGGUCACAGAAAGAGCCGCUAAUGUUCUGGAUGAAAGGUGGAAGGGUUAUGUGCUCUUUAUCAGUGGCAGGAAUGACAGACGUGGUCUUCCUGGGAAGCAAGGUGUCAUGACCCACAGCAGAGUACACCUGCUGUUGAGUAAUGGGCAUUCUUGUUCUAUACUGAGAGUCAGGCUGAUCCAAGGCUUUCUCAGAAGCCCUGAUGAAAGGACAAAGGGAACAUUAGUUCUGUGUCCUUGCCUAGGGGAAGACUUGGCAAGGUCUGGUCUGAUCUCAGGGCCAGGGCUUUGAAGGAGUUAAGGUUUUGGUUCCUGGGAACUUGGCUUGUCCCCUGAAGAGACUGGAUUUAUGGGUGCCAAGGCCAUUGUGUGUUCAGUCUCUGAGAGCCUUGAGAUAUUCUGGGUUCCUCUUCUACAACAUUGUUUCAUUAGCUUUCUACUGACUAUGUCCCAUUUCUCCCCUAAAAACUGCAUAAAAGAUGCUACACUUCUUAAUAGGCUUCCUUGGCAUAGUCAUAGCUUUGCAAGACCUCCCAACCCCAGCUUUUCUGUCUUCUUUACCUUCUCAUCUCCUGGCCACCUCCCCUUUCGGACUCCAUCACUGAAGAAUGACCUGCUGACCCAGGUCAGUUAGAGACCGAAGAGAACUGGGGAGAGGGAGCACAAGUCUGUUUACAGAUGCAUCGUGGAUGCCAACCUGAGUGUUCUCAAGCUGGUUGUUGUCAUAAUAGGAAAGAAGGAUAUUCCUGGACCGACAGAUAGUGCUAUGCUUCACUGAUGGGGGCCAAAAGACCAAGCAGAAUCCAAAAGCUUUCCAAUUUCUCUAAAGAAGACAGUGUCCACUAAUACGUCAUUAGAAAGCCCUUAAACAAAGAAGGUAAGAAGCCUGGGUCCAAAGCACCCAAGAUUCAGCAUCCUGUCAUUCCACGCGUUCUGUAGCACAAAGGUCAACCUAUUGCUCUGAAGAAAUAAUGCACUAAGAAAAACAAGGAGGAAUUUGCAGAAUAUGCUAAUGUUUUGGCCAAGAUAAUGAAGGAAGCCAAAGAAAAAUGCCAGAAGAGAUUGCCAAGGCUGUCUUCACUGAGAGCUCCUGUUUCUGAGUCUGCUUAAAAGUAAGCAUUUGACAGUAACAAAUAAAUUAACCAGGCCUUUAAUCUCAAUAAAAUAAUAUAAAAUAUAAUAGAAUGAAGCUUUUGGGUCAGUGAGAUGGUUCUGCCUGUUGUUGUAUGACACUGUCCUUGGGAAGAUCUGAACAAAUGUGUUCUCACUUCAGAGGGGGAACCCAUGAGAGACCAAAGUCCACAGGCCACCGAAGUCCACUCAGUGAAUCAAUGAGUUUGUUGGGGUUACGUAUGGCGUAUGGGUGAGGGGUUACUUACAGGAGCAGAAAUGACUCCAAGACAACUGCAUCACCAAGUUCCACCCCAGCAAGGUCACAGCUCAUGAGAGCUGGAAACCUGAAGUGUACUGUCCAGCCUGCAGGCAGCUCAACAGGUUGAAGAGUAUCUCUUUCUGGCCUAUCAGGUGCUAUAAACCUCUUCCAUGUAGCUCGGCUGAUCUCUGCUUCUUGUAGGUGGACAGCUAGUUCAGCUUGUCUAAGAGUGUCUCUCUAUAAUCUUUACAGCUUUUGCGCGCUUGUGGGAGGAACACUCUAGUGCCUCCCAUCAGAUUCAGGGACUUCCUGAAGAUUUUGAGUUGUUUCCUUUCUGAGCUUAAGGAGCUUACCUGCAGGAGACCUUAGGGUAUCUUGUGUUUUAAUAAUGAUCUUCCCUCCUAGAUGUAUGGUUUUUGUCAUGGAGAAAAUUGCUAGGCGACAGAGACAAAGGCACCAACUGACAAGCCUUAUGACCUGAGUUAGAUCCCUAACCCCACAUGGUUGAAGAGGAGAACCAACUCCCACCAGCUGUCCUCUGACCCUCUCACAUGGACCACUGGAUGUGUGUGUCUCCCAAUAAAUAGAUACAUAUGAAAGAACUAAAAAAUACUUUUUCUACUACAGCUAUAUAAGUUGUUGGUGUGGGGGAAUGCUCCCCUUGUUCAGUAUUUGUCGUUCAAUUACUCCCAAACUGCAAAAGAUAUGUAGUUUCACUUAAUUGUCAAUUUUCUUUUAUGGCUGUUGUUUUUACUACUAUAAUAAAGGUCUACAAAUGCCUGAUUGAAAUGAGAAUUAAAAAUCCAUUAUAUUUAUAGAUUGGUUUUGAGACAAUCAUAAGAACUCAGUAAGUUCAAAUUGUUUUGUGAAUUUUAGUUUUUGGAAGCUUGGGCAUCACAUACAUUGUAUAUUUUUAUAAUCGUACAUCAUUAGUGCAAAUGCAGAUAUGCACAUUUUAGAAAACUAUAAAGUAGAAUAGAACAAAAAUGUGAAAAUAUAUCCUACCAUUCACAGUAUCCCAUAAACAUCUAAGUGAAUUACUUUUUAGACCCUUCAUAAUUUUGUGACAAAGCAAAUUCAUAUUGAACACAUUGUUCUCUUUGUUAAUAUUCUUAAGUUUUUAAUUUUUCAUCUUAUCUGUGAUUCACCCAUCUCCAGCUUCCUCCAAGUCUUUGGCAGUUGCUUCUUUAC